rnacentral:rRNA from 1 species
GUGCCGACGAGUGGCGAACGGGUGAGUAAUAUAUCGGAACGUGCCCAGUAGUGGGGGAUAGCCCGGCGAAAGCCGGAUUAAUACCGCAUACGACCUGAGGGUGAAAGCGGGGGAUCGCAAGACCUCGCGCUAUUGGAGCGGCCGAUAUCUGAUUAGGUAGUUGGUAGGGUAAAGGCCUACCAAGCCGACGAUCAGUAGCUGGUCUGAGAGGACGAUCAGCCACACUGGAACUGAGACACGGUCCAGACUCC